rnacentral:rRNA from 1 species
AGAGUUUGAUCCUGGCUCAGGAUGAACGCUGACAGAAUGCUUAACACAUGCAAGUCUACUUGAACUUCGGUUUGGGUGGCGGACGGGUGAGUAACGCGUAAAGAACUUGCCUCACAGUUAGGGACAACAUUUGGAAACGAAUGCUAAUACCUGAUAUUAUGAUUUUAGGGCAUCCUAAGAUUAUGAAAGCUAUAUGUGCUGUGAGAGAGCUUUGCGUCCCAUUAGCUAGUUGGAGAGGUAACGGCUCACCAAGGCGAUGAUGGGUAGCCGGCCUGAGAGGGUGAACGGCCACAAGGGGACUGAGACACGGCCCUUACUCCUACGGGAGGCAGCAGUGGGGAAUAUUGGACAAUGGACCAAAAGUCUGAUCCAGCAAUUCUGUGUGCACGAUGACGUUUUUCGGAAUGUAAAGUGCUUUCAGUUGGGAAGAAAAAAAUGACGGUACCAACAGAAGAAGUGACGGCUAAAUACGUGCCAGCAGCCGCGGUAAUACGUAUGUCACAAGCGUUAUCCGGAUUUAUUGGGCGUAAAGCGCGUCUAGGUGGUUAUGUAAGUCUGAUGUGAAAAUGCAGGGCUCAACUCUGUAUUGCGUUGGAAACUGCAUGACUAGAGUACUGGAGAGGUAAGCGGAACUACAAGUGUAGAGGUGAAAUUCGUAGAUAUUUGUAGGAAUGCCGAUGGGGAAGCCAGCUUACUGGACAGAUACUGACGCUAAAGCGCGAAAGCGUGGGUAGCAAACAGGAUUAGAUACCCUGGUAGUCCACGCCGUAAACGAUGAGUGCUAAGUGUUGGUCUCAUAAGAGAUCAGUGCUGCAGCUAACGCAUUAAGCACUCCGCCUGGGGAGUACGACCGCAAGGUUGAAACUCAAAGGAAUUGACGGGGACCCGCACAAGCGGUGGAGCAUGUGGUUUAAUUCGA